UACGGAGGGGGCAAGCGUUGUUCGGAAUUACUGGGCGUAAAGGGCGCGUAGGCGGCCUUCUAAGUCGAACGUGAAAUCCCCGGGCUCAACCCGGGAACUGCGUCCGAUACUGGCAGGCUUGAAUCCGGGAGAGGGAUGUGGAAUUCCAGGUGUAGCGGUGAAAUGCGUAGAUAUCUGGAGGAACACCGGUGGCGAAGGCGACACCCUGGACCGGUAUUGACGCUGAGGCGCGAAAGCCAGGGGAGCAAACGGG
rnacentral:rRNA from 1 species